rnacentral:lncRNA from 1 species
ACAUAAUCUUCCUCCUCUCUUCCCUAUUCAGAACCCAGCAAUGUCAUUCUUCUUCUUCAAAACUCAAGCCAAGACCUCAAAGUCAUCCCCAGAGCCUGCUUUACUUUCACAACACAAAUCUAGUAUAAGGACAAUUUUGAAAGCCUCCGAGGAGCCAGUUCCAGGGAUUGGAGCCAGCAGGAUCCUCUAAAAGUAUGAACCACGCAACACCAGCUCAUUACAGCCACUCCUCCUUGAUCUAACAAAGCUCCUCCGUGGACUUCCCUCAGAAUGACAGUCCCCGAAAGGGGGCACAGUUGUUGUCUUCUCUAUAUACUGCUGUGUUCCCAGCACCUAGAAUGAUUCUUGACACACGAGUUGCUUUGGUGGACAUCAGGACAGCCUGGGAAGACAGCGAUGAAUCGGAAUGCUCAGGGCACCCAGCAGCAUCUGAGAGAGGGGAGGUGUUACUAAGAGGGACCCCUGUGAAUCCCUACUGCAUUUGACCCCUGCUCUUUCAACAAAAUUUUUUACUUCUGCUUUAACAGAGGCAAGGAAAAUAGUAAAAUAUAUUAAAGUUGGCUUGUAUUAAAAAAACCCUCCUUUGUAAUUAGGGCAGUAAAUUAUAGACACAGGAUUCCAUAUAGGCCAUAAAUUGAAUAUUUUAGAGAGAGUAGAGUUGGG